AGGACUAACGCUGGCGGCGUGCCUAACACAUGCAAGUCGAACGAGAGUAGCAAUACUCUAGUGGCAGACGGGUGAGUAACACGUGGUCAACCUACCUUUAAGUGGGGGAUAACUAGCCGAAAGGUUAGCUAAUACCGCAUACGAUCUUCGCGUGGCAUCACAUGAAGAUGAAAGGAGCAAUCCGCUGAAAGACGGGACCGCGUCCCAUUAGCCAGUUGGUGGGGUAACGGCCUACCAAAGCAACGAUGGGUAGCUGGCUUGAGAGAGCGACCAGCCACACUGGGACUGAGACACGGCCCAGACUCCUACGGGAGGCAGCAGUGAGGAAUUUUCCGCAAUGGGCGAAAGCCUGACGGAGCGACGCCGCGUGUGGGAUGAAGGCCUUCGGGUCGUAAACCACUGUCGAAGGGGAAGAGUAUUGACGGUACCCUUGGAGGAAGCCCGGCUAACUACGCGCCAGCAGCCGC
rnacentral:rRNA from 1 species